AAAGUUGGAGCUGUCUACGCUA
rnacentral:siRNA from 1 species